UUCGCCGCCCGUGACUCUGCGAGAAGUCCACUGAACCUUAUCAUUUAGAGGAAGGAGAAGUCGUAACAAGGUUUCCGUAGGUGAACCUGCGGAAGGAUCAUUG
rnacentral:rRNA from 1 species